UAUAAAGAAAAUUUACACAUUCUAAAAUUUACACAUUCUAAAAUUUACACAUUCUCUUUCUUCCUCUCAAAUGACUGCAACAAAAAUGUAAUGUUUCUCACUCUAAAACUCUCCAACCUCCCUCUAAUCUCUUUGAACAUCAAAACACCAAACUUUAUAUCCAUUUCUCACUUUUUCUUAUGUCUUCUCACUAAUUUAUCUUCUUUUUGCAAGUUUUUCAUAACAUGAUUCUCAUCUUU
rnacentral:lncRNA from 1 species